rnacentral:rRNA from 1 species
UACGUAGGGUGCGAGCGUUGUCCGGAAUUAUUGGGCGUAAAGAGCUCGUAGGCGGUCUGUCGCGUCGGUCGUGAAAACCUGCAGCUUAACUGUGGGCUUGCGGUCGAUACGGGCAUGACUGGAGUUCGGCAGGGGAGACUGGAAUUCCUGGUGUAGCGGUGAAAUGCGCAGAUAUCAGGAGGAACACCGGUGGCGAAGGCGGGUCUCUGGGCCGUAACUGACGCUGAGGAGCGAAAGCGUGGGGAGCGAACAGG